AAGGCUGCACUUAAAGGGACGCUUCCCGCCUUUUCCCCCCUCUUCAAGUCAUCUUUCCCCUGAAAUGGCUCCUAGGUGAGUGCGAUGGAAAGAAAACGGACAUAUCCGUCUAGGGAGCAAAAAAAACAACAACACAAAUGAACAAUCUUCUUCAAGGAGUCUUCUGCAAUUAUACUUCGAAGUUGAGCAUAUAUAACACAGCAGACUGAGUGAAUUGCUUUGGAAGGAAACUGGUUUUUGUACAGCAAACUGACACCUGCCAUUUUUACAAGAUAUCAGUUCGAUUUGAGGAGUUCUACAGGUGGAACUAUGGGACGCAGGUGGCGUUGUGGUCCAAACCACAGAGCCUAGGGCUUGCCGAUCAGAAGGUGCUCAGUAAAGCAGCAGCCACCACAGCAACAGAAGAUUCCCAAAUCCCAGAAGUGCUGCCACAACUCACAGAAAAAAAACAAUACUGAAAAAGAACUGAGUACUCCCUAUGACACAGCUGCCACAAUCUAGCAAGUUACUUCUUGAUAGGAAGACAGAGACAAACAAGAGAGAGUCCUAGAUUUUAGCUGUGCCAUUGGUGAAAGCAAACUAAGCAAACCUUCACAUUUCCAGGCCUUAUAUUUGACACAAAAAAUAAGCAGAAGAAUGAAAGGCCUGUUUUGGAAAGGAGGAUACAAAACUAGUGUAAGGAUCUAAAGUGGAGAUGGAAUGAAACCUCUUGGACAUUUCUAUGCUACAGUCACUGCAGAAAAAGAAAGUGUAUUUUAUGUGUUCUUGUUCUCUGUCUUUCACUCACACACACAUACACGUGACUGAAGCAGCUUCUUGCAUGUCUGCCCUGGUGGAUCAAUAAGGGUUUGAAGCACUCAGCACUCUAGAAGGGUGAGUCACUUUGGCAUUAUGCAGUUUCUGAGAAGGCCUUAUAUUAAAAGGUCAAGAACAUUUUCCAAAAAUGCAGCUCUGCUCAUUUCUUGUCCAGGGGUGUAACCAGAACCACACACUAGAAGUUGUUGCAUGAGAAACACUGUCGUGUGUGUUUGUGUGUAGAAUUUUGUGUACUAACUGCUGCUUCUCAAAGUUCCAUUGGUUCAGUCCUGCAAUAUAAGCCCUUAGACAUUCUACUUCAGUCUUGUUGAUACCAUUGUAGCAGACUGUCAGUUAAGAGAUUAUGAAUCCAUUCUGAAGCCUGUCAUGGUGGGAGAUAUGGGGCUAGUGAGUGGAGUGAGGAGAAUUUAUCAAAAGAUGAGUUCUGGGACAACUUUGUGGUACAUUUUCUAAAUGUAGCACUUGGUUUCACCAGGAUUUUACUAGUCACACUUUAAUAAAGGAGAGCAUUUCCUCAACCAAAAUCUGAGAGCACACUUCAACAUGAUCCCUAUCUCUUACAUAAGAUUGAUGACCAGGUGUCUGAAAGUAUUGUUUACAUCCCAUGUGCAUAAACAAAAGUGAAAGAUUGAAGGAGACCUUCAGGUGCUAUUGUGAUCUGAAUCUAUGUUACCAGUGAGUCCCAGCAUGCAAUGCAUACCCAUAAACAGUUACGUUGCUAAUUUUCUACAAAUGAAGGCAGCGAUCAGGUCCAUUUUUUUUGGUAUUUUUAUUCCACUGCCACACAGGAAAGUAUAAAAUAUGUUAAACAUUUGAGUGGUAUUGAUGCUAUACAAUUCAGAAUACACAAAAUAAAAGCAAAACAAACAAACAAAUAUUCACAGAAAGCCAAGCCCCAAAGGCAACAGAGUGCCACUGCUCCCCAUUAUUGACAAUAAUACAUCACUGAAAGCAAUAUCAGUUCCACUACAGUAUCCUGAGGCCAGUAACUGGUUAACAAACAUCUGCUCAUUACCUCUGCAUGCAAAGCCAGUGCAACAUCCUGUUUUUGUGCAGAAAUCAAUGGAAGUCAACCCUAUGACUUGAUUUGAUGGCAGUAGGCAAAGAGAUGGAGGAGGCAGCUGAACACAGACAAGCUCAGCCUACAACUGCAUUAUUCAAAACAAUGCAGUUAAAACAAUGAGCUUUCCAUGGCACCUGAAUCAAGGCCCUUAAGUUUUCAACAUAGAUCAGCUGGUGACUAAACCAGUGGAAACUCAGUGCUGACCCAAAGUAAACAACUAGUUGCGCGGUCAAACCCUUUCUAUUGUAUAAGGGAUUAGGUGGUAUGAUUUGUUGCUUUACUCAUAAUCCAAUUGAAACACUUUGGUUGUUCUUUUUCUUAUAAAUCAAAAUGCUGCUUUUUUUUGUU